AUUUCAGAAAGAAACAAUUCCCUCAAUUUAGACCAGUCAUUGGUUGACCACUCCCACAAGCUCUGAGCCACCACUACCCAAUGCUUCUUGAAGGCAAAUAUGCAAACAGAAUGCUGUUGUAAGACUCCAGGGAGCCUUAGCUUUCUGGAGAUCCUGUGAAUAAAACACAUGAAGUUGGGAUUGAUGCAAAAAGCAAGAGGAAUUUAUUGUUCCUGUGCACGAGGUUCGUCCCAGACCCAAAGGAGAGGCAGUGGCCCCCAGCACCCAACUGGUGAGUUUAUAUGGUUCCCAGGGGUAGAAUAGAGCACCAGCAACUAGGCACAAUAUGAUUGGCAGAGCAGUGCAUCAUUUAAACUGGUCUUUAGGGAAUGAGU
rnacentral:lncRNA from 1 species